GGGAGGAUAGCUCAUUUGUUGAGCACUUGCCUAACAUGCAAAAGACCCUAGGUUCCAUCCCUAGUGCUGCAA
rnacentral:tRNA from 1 species